AUUGAAGCCCUGUGCGGCGCUGUGCCCCGCAGGCGAUGUGAGCAUCGGCAUUAAGUGCAGCCCGGCGCAGCCCGGCGCGCCGGAGGCGGACCUGGAUUUCACCAUCAUUAAGAACGACAACGACACGUUCACCGUGAAGUACACCCCGCCCUGCGCCGGCCUGCUCACCAUCAUGGUGCUCUUCGGCACGCAGGUACCGCUCACCAGCACUGUGCCACAGCUCACCAGCACUGUGCCACAGCUCACCAUUGGUGCCACAGCUCACUAUCAUUGUGCCACAGCUCACCAUUGGCACCACAGCUCACCGUCAUUGUGCCACAGCUCACCAUCAGUGUGCCACAGCUCACCAUUGGUGCCACAGCUCACCAGCACUGUGCCACAGCUCACCAUUGGCACCACAGCUCACCAGUGGCACCACAGCUCACCAGCACUGUGCCACAGCUCACCAUCAUUGUGCCACAGAUCACCAGCACUGUGCCACAGCUCACCAUCAUUGUGCCACAGCUCACCAUCACUGCGCCACAGCUCACCAGCACUAUGCCACAGCUCACCGUCAUUGUGCCACAGCUCACCACCAUUGUGCCACAGCUUACCAGCACUGUGCCACAGCUCACCAUCACUGCGCCACAGCUCACCAUCAUUGUGCCACAGCUCUCCAUUGGCAUCACAGCUCACCAUUGGCACCACAGCUCACCAGCACUGCGCCACAGCUCACCAUCAUUGUGCCACACCUCACCAUUGGCACCACAACUCACCAGCACUGUGCCACAGCUCACCACUGGCACCACAACUCACCAUCAUUGUGCCACAGCUCACCAUCAUUAUGCAACAGCUCACCAUUGGCGCCACAGCUCACCAUCACUGCGCCACAGCUCACCAUUGGCCCCACAGCUCACCAUCAUUGUGCCACAGCUCACCAUUGGCCCCACAGCGCACUACUAUUGGCACCACAGCUCACCAUCACUGGCACCAUUGGCACCACAGCUCACCAUCAUUGCACCACAGCGCACUACUAUUGGCACCACAGCUCACCAUCACUGCACCACAACUCACCAUCACCGGCACCAUUGGCACCACAGCUCACCACUAUUGGCACCAUUGCCACAAUUGUCACCAUUGUUGCUGUCACCAUCCCCAUCCCUAAUAGUGUCCCUAUGGGUGUCCCUAUGUGCUCCCCAUCCCUAUGGGUGUCCCUAUGGGUUCCCCAUCCCUAAUAGUGUCCCUAUGGGUGUCCCUAUGGGUGUCCCUAUGGGUUCCCCAUCCCUGUGGGUGUCCCUGCCCUAUGGGUGAUCCUAU
rnacentral:lncRNA from 1 species